rnacentral:rRNA from 1 species
AACGAACACUGGCGGCGUGCCUUAAGCAUGCAAGUCGAGCGGUGCCAGAGAUUAUCUGGUAUAGCGGCGCACGGGUGAGUAACGCGUGGUUAGCCGACCCGAAGACGGGAAUAGCCUCAAGAAAUUGGGGGUAAUGCCCGGUAAUCCCUAAGGGGGAAAGCAGCAAUGCGCUUUGGGAGGUGACUGCGUCCCAUCAGGUAGUUGGGGGGGUAACGGCCCACCAAGCCAAUGACGGGUAGCCGGCCUGAGAGGGUGUACGGCCACACUGGAACUGAGACACGGUCCAGACUCCUACGGGAGGCAGCAGUGGGGAAUAUUGCACAAUGGACGAAAGUCUGAUGCAGCAACGCCGCGUGGAGGAUGACACAUUUCGGUGCGUAAACUCCUUUUAUAUGAGAAGAUAAUGACGGUAUUAUAUGAAUAAGCACCGGCUAACUCCGUG